GCCUGAACCUGUUCAGGAAGAGAGGAAGCCAUCUACUUCUCGCCAGCUUGACUUAAAUGUUGCUUCAGUACCGGAUUUAAAUGAAGAGUUAACCCCUUCGUCCAGAGAUGAAGAUAACUGCUGCACUUUAGAGCUGACAGUUGAAGCAGAUGAUGAUGCCACCUCUCAUGACAAUGAGAGGAACGGUCUUGCCAGAUCACAUGGUAGUGGAGAUUCCCAAAACUGGAACCAGGGGAAGAAUGGAGAUGUGUCAGCUGGUGAUUCUCAGAUGGAAGGUUGUCGGAAGAGAGGAGCUAGCAAUAAUGGUGAGACACACGACUCUGACAGCACCCUAAUCAAUGGUUCACCUAUCCGAAUUCGUACAGGAGGGUUGGAUGAGAACUUUGAAUAUUGUGUGAAGAUCAUCCGCUGGCUGGAAUGUCAGGGUCUGAUUGAGAAGGAAUUCAGGUUAAAGUUGCUUACUUGGUUUAGCUUGCGAUCAACAGAGCAAGAACGUAGGGUGGUAAAUACCUUUAUUCAAACGCUAAUUGAUGAUCCAAGUAGCUUGGCAGGUCAAUUGGUUGAUACGUUUUCAGAAAUAGUAUCCAGCAAGAGGCCACGGAAUGGUUUUUGUUGCAAGCUUUGGCAUUAACUUAUCAAGGGUCAAAAAAAAUUUCUACCCAGAUGACAGGUAGUCUUGCAGACCAUUUUACUCGCUGUCUUUACACUCAAUUUUUUUUCUCCAUAAUCUGUAGUCAAUGAUUCAUUCGUGGACAAGCCCGUCCAGCUACAAGAUUUGGGUUGUUAUUCAUGUAGGCAGUUGUUG
rnacentral:misc_RNA from 1 species